AAAGGGGAAAACAACGUAAGACACAAUAAAGAACACAUCAACAAGCUAUGCUAAACCAAGCAUCAAUCCUACCACUGUUAAAUACCUGUUCUGGGUCAAUCUAAAAAUCAAUAGUAUCAGAUUUGUGGGUCCCGUGUGUAAAUAGAUGUUGAAUUGAAAAAGGUUGUGGGUCCUAC